AAGGUGGUGGUGGUGGUCUAUUGUUACGGGGUGGUUGGGAGAAUGGAGUUGGUCGGGGAGAUGUCGAAGGGGGUGGUGGUGGUCUAUUAUUACGAGGUGGUUGGGCGGAUGAAGGUGGUGGCAGAGAUUUCGAAGGGGGUGGCGGUGGUCUAUUCUUACGAGGAGGUUGGGCGGAUGGAGGUGGUGGUGGAGAUGUCGAAGGGGGUGGUGGUGGUCUAUUAUUGCGAGGUGGUUGGGUGGAUGGAGGUGGUGGUGGAGAUAUCGAAGGGAGUGGUGGGGGUCUAUUGUUACGAGAUGGUUGGGCAGAUGGAGGGGGUGGUAGUGGUCUAUUGUUACGAGGUGGUUGGACGUAUGCAGGUGGUGGUGGAGAUGUCGAACUGAGUGGUGGU